rnacentral:tRNA from 1 species
GCCUCUGUAGCUCAGUUGGUAGAGCAGCCGCCUUGUAAGCGGCCGGUCGUCAGUUCAAAUCUGGCCAGGGGCU